AUACUUACCUGGCAGGGGUGAAACAAUGAUCAUUAAGGUUGUGCUCCCUGGAUGAGGUUAUCCCAUUGCACUCCGGGUGUGCUGAUGCCUGCGAUUUCCCCAAAUGCGGGAUAUUAACUGCAAAAUUUGUGAUAUUGGGGGACUGCGUUUGUGCUCCCCCCUG